rnacentral:rRNA from 1 species
GACGAACGCUGGCGGCGUGCUUAACACAUGCAAGUCGAGCGGUAAGGCCCUUUCGGGGGUACACGAGCGGCGAACGGGUGAGUAACACGUGGGUGACCUGCCCUCAGCUCUGGGAUAAGCCUGGGAAACCGGGUCUAAUACUGGAUAUGACUCCAUGACGCAUGUUGUGGGGUGGAAAGCCUUGUGCGGCUGAGGAUGGGCCCGCGGCCUAUCAGCUUGUUGGUGGGGUGAUGGCCUACCAAGGCGACGACGGGUAGCCGGCCUGAGAGGGCG